CANACUUCGCAUGAAGCGGUGUGAAAAACUCUGGUGGUAUACGAUGGUUCCGCGUCUGAUUAGCUAGUUGGUGGGGUAAUGGCCUACCAAGGCAACGAUCAGUAGCCGGCCUGAGAGGGUGAACGGCCACAUUGGGACUGAGACACGGCCCAAACUCCUACGGGAGGCAGCAG
rnacentral:rRNA from 1 species